rnacentral:lncRNA from 1 species
UCCUGCAUCAGCUUUGGUAUCAGAGCCUCGGCUUUGCCCCUGUUGCCAAAGCCCCGAUCCAGUUUAUUGGAGCAACAAAACAUCUUGACCUGUCAGACUUCCUGCCAUCCGAUAAAGGGUUCCGAUCCUUUCUUCUUUCGAAGCAGAACUCCCGCACCCUGCUUCCGUGUGUGCGAGUCCUCCCUCUCGAGUCUCACCAGAGGAGAAAGAAAAAAAAAAAAGGAAAUCCUUUCUUCCCUCUCUCGGUUCUCGCACAAGAAACAGGGGCAAACCCCUUCGCCAGGUCUACCCACCCGUCGUCACAUCCGCGCCUACCGCCGCCACCAGUCCCCGCCACCGUCGGACGUCCUCGCCCUCGCCGCCGCCACCGCCCAGUGAGGGCCCGAGCCCGCCGUCGGAGGAGCCAUAUCCCCACGGAAACGUCGCUGCCCGGGUUCCCGUGCCUGUCGACACCACCAGUGGCUACUGUUUUCAGCCGCCCUUCAUCUGCCGCCGCAACUCCUUCCCUGCAGUCGUUGCCGCGAAGUCCGGCCGCCGCCACAGGGCAAGUAAACCGCCCCUCAACUCAAGGCGGAACCCAAACCCAGUAGGGUUGAAAAAAAAAAAGACAUCGGGCGUGAAACGGGUUAGCGGAGCGAGUUGUGCCCGUUAACCCGAACACUACCGGAUCUCUGUUA